UAGAGAACUGAGUCAACACACAGUGUCUCCAGAAAGCCCUGGGCAGCCGUCCAGCAGCACUGGCCUGGCCUGGACCAAGUGUCACUUACGCCUGCUAUUUACGGCCCGGGGUGCUUUUCAGAGUGACCCUGUGGCCAGAACUAAGUCCAGAGGAGAUGCAGAGUCAGCUCGGAAUGGUUGAAAGAGAGUAGAUCCCGCUAACGUUUCCUGCAGACCCGGAUUUGACAAGAGCCUGCGAACUAGGGGUAGCAGGGACAGCGAGACGGAGCUCAGAGAGGCACGGGGACCUGCCCUCGGCCGCACGGCAACUCGGUGGCACCAUGUCACACCAAAGGUCAUCCUUACUGUGCCCGAUGCCUACACAGGUAUAAACUCACAGGUUUAAACCAUACAUGGAGUUCAUUUAAGGGAUUGCCCCUGCCUGUGGGCUUUAAGGCUGGCCAUCAGGGGGAACGUCCUUCGUCUGGCGCAAGCAGGAGAUAGAAACGUCGAGCGAAGCCCAGGAUGCAGCCUGUCACCCUCUGGAUGAGGAACCACUGGUGCAGAUGGCCUAACAGCUUGCCCCAAAUCACAUGGCCCAUCAGGGCCCAGCCAAGGCCACCCCCAGGUCUCCUGGGCUCUGGAGGCAGUGAUUUCCCCCGAAAUCAUAGAACAGGGCCCAGAGCGGAGGGCCCAAGCUCCAGCCAGGGUGCUGCCUCCCUCCCACUAUUGCCACUGCCUGACCCACCGGAAGGGCUCUUCUGUGGCCGUGGUAAAGGCCUGUGGUGACGCUCCUGGGGGCUGGUCCCAAGGCCCCACAGCUCGGGCUCGGGCAUCCGAGCUGGGAUACAGGCCUCCUGACCACCUGCUUCUGGGCCCACCCCGCCGCAGCUUCAUCCUAGGGACUCACAGUCACGGACCCGCAGGUCUCACGUGUUGCUUACAUUUUUCCAACACACGUUAAAAUAAGACGUGACGGUUGAAAGAAGGAGCAUUUGUCCUGGUGCCACCUAAAAUCCCCCGGACGGUUCCCAUCAGGGUCUGUGGGGGGCUCUUGCCCAGGCAGCCGCGAACACAAAGAACCUGCUAGGAAGGAGCCGACACUGGCAGGAGCCAGGUGCCCAGGCGUCCAGGGAGGGGACGUGGCGGGUGAGCAGUUCCUGGAAGGAUGGGAGCAACGCUCCGAGUGUGGCACGCUUGCACCACGAUUCUUCAGAGGGAGAGCGACAGUGUGGCCUCCGUGCAGCCGGCAGCUGGGUGUGGAGAGCGUGCCCGGGGCCCCGUGGCGGACGGCCUGGCCUGUCUAUAGAACUGCCAGGACCCCGACUGCUUCCUUGGGCCUCCCUGCAGAGACCAGCGCUUGACCCCCAUCCCAUCACUGUGCCGGGGAUGCAGGGACCGUCAGGACCCCAGAGAGAGCCUUGCUACACUCAUAGCAGCCCCUCCCCUGCCCCGGGUGAGGGCUGACCUUCAGAGACCCUUUAGAGGAAGGGGGCAGAUGAAGGGCCCUACAAAGGGGAAGGGAGGGAGCCCAGACCAGUGUGGGGACACCCAAGGGUGCUUGCUCUGCUCCUCCCCGCGGCAGCCAGACCCCGGACGUCCUGCUGGAGUCUGGGCAGGGCAUGUCCCUCUGCCUGGCGGGGGCCGCAGCUGGGCCCUAGUCCUGCCUCCACUGCCUCCUUCCAUCCCUGGUGGGAGCUCCUGGGGCACUGCUCAGCCUGCGGCCGGCUCCUCAGGGGACACUGGGCUCCCCAGGUCCCAGACCCGUUCAAGCCACUGUGUCCUGCUGGGUCCCGAGGGGGCUCCCUCAUCACGGCUGAUCACAGAGGAGGAUGCCGGUCUGCAGCUGCCUUCCUCGCUGGAAGGGCCUGCCACUCCCUGCGACGCUGGAAACCCAGAGUCCACAGAAUGCCACCGCCAGUGGGUUACGAACCUCAGGAAAAUCAUGGUUCUUGGAGUCUGCUCCCGAGCUCGCAAGCUAAGCAGUCCCAGAACCUUCCGAGAGACGGAUCUGAGGCGGCCCAGCUGCUAGAUCUGCUGACGUUUUGAAAGUCUGGCUUCCUCCUCUUUGUGAGGGGAUGGCUCUCCUUCCUUCUGAAUCAGCCUGCGGCCCACCUGGCCCCACCGGGUGAACACGCUUUUCUGCUGACCCCUAGACACCCUGCUCCCGGCCGAAGGGCACAGGCUGCGGACAAGCCUCCCUGGCCCUCUGGACCCUGCCAGCUGCCUCCACUCCUUGCCACUGUCCCUGGGGAGGUGCCCUCCCUGCUCCUGGCUCCAGUCCCUGGAAGCCUGGCCCGGCCCCUGGCUGGCCGCCUCCUGGCCCCAGUCUGCCGGCUGCACUUGCCAAAGGGUCAUAAGGCCUCGCUCACAGCCUGGCUUCUCCCUGGCUGCCUUAGGCUCAUUUUGGCUCCUGUGUCCUGCCCGGUCUGUUGCCACCAUGUUCCUGGGAACCUGCCUGCCUGGCACACCCACCCCCUGCUGCCCUGCUCUGGCCCGAUCUGUCUCCUGCUGGCUGCUGCGCCCCAGGACACACUUCCCUCAACCCUCCUGCCAGCUGGGCCGUCCCUCUUUGGUCUGUAAGCCACCCACGGUGACAGAUGACACCUGUCUACAGCACAGGUCCAAAAUUCUGCCUGGAGUUGGGGCCCCAUUUGUCCUUUGGUCUGAUGCCUUUAGCUCCCCCUCUUGCCCUUGGUUGACUCCACACGUCCAGGAAUCUGCCGGACAGCCCCUUUCAACCCUUUCCUCGAUUUCUGGCUUCCUCAGUCUCCUUUCUUCUGAGCCAAAAUGGUUCUCUUCUUUUAUGCUUUUAUUCUGAAACUAUUGCAAACACACAAAAAAGUUAGAAGUAUCAUGAGAAAAACCACUUUCUCCCCAAAGCAGUGGAGAGCAAACUGCCAAGUCCUAUCCUCCCUGAGUUCUUUAGUGCACGUUUCCUCCAUCUAAGGCCACGCCGCUGGGCCUCACCAGCCUGGUCAGGCUCUGUCUCUCCAGCCACAGCCUAUCCCCUUGGGUGGCGGGCAAUGCCAUCCUCAACCUGUGUGGGUCAUGCUCCCUCUCCCCCAACCAGGCCACCCUCUGUUCUCUCUAGAACCAAAGGAAUCUUCUGGGAUUGAUCAUCUCUCUUCAUGGGAGCUGAAGGCACUGCAGAUCUCCAACUCAGUAGCACACAAGAACCGCCUCCCUGCCAUCAGCGCAGCGACAGCAAGAUGGCCCCUAUCCUCCUACACAUGGACCACAACAUCCUUCCUCCCUUCCUCCCAUUGGCUCCUUUGGAGUGGGGCUCAACAGGACGGCCUCUGUCACUAGCAUGCUGUAUUAAUGUCUCCCUGGGCCAUAGUUUCCUCAUUGGCAAAGUGAGGAAUCUGGGUGAAAUGAUUUUUGGGGGCUCUUCCAUAAUAUGAAACAUAGUAGACUUUCACUGAGUACUUAUUACGCACCAAGCACUGGACAUUCUUUACAUGGAGCAUCUUUUUUUUUUUUUUUUUUUUUUUUUUUUUUUUUUUACAUGGAGCAUCUUAAUCCUCAUGCAAACCCUUUCAGAUGGAAUUAUUGUUAUCAUUUUCAUCUUAUAGAUGGGGAAACCGAGGCACAGAGGCGUUACCUAGCUUACUUAACAUCAGAAGGACACCCUGAUAGAACCAGGAUUCCCAUGCAGGGCAUUCGCCUUCCGUACGUUUUACCACAAAGUGCUUGCAGAAGGCAGAAGGUACCAGGAAUUUACCCUUUACCUGAAGAGGCAAUCGUAUAAAGUAAAUAUUGAUAAAUUCACGGCAGACUGAGAGGUCAACUUACUGGGUGCGAGGCACUGUGCCAGGUACUUACAAACAUUGUUUCCCUUUACUCUUAAUAACUGAUAAAUACGGACUAUUACGAUUCUCACUUUUCCAGCUGAGGGGGCUGAGCCAUGGAGAGGUUAGGUCUUUCCAACCAGUGGCAGAGCCAGGAUUUGAACCCGGGUCUAGCCGGUGCCAAAGCCGUGCUGUUGCCACCGUGGUCUACUGCCGACCUGAGAUGGGUGCUCUGCGCAGAGCAUGGGGAGUGAAGGAUGCCCCCCAUUCCCUCUGAUUGGCAGUGAGCUCGGGAGGAGGGUGCCAAGCUUCGGGCAAGAGUUUCCCAACAGCCUCCAGAGUGGAGAAAGGCACCCCAGGAGCACCACAGACCGAAGUAGGCAAACGUCGGGCAGCAGCGUGUGGCUGGCAGGAGGCAUCAGUGUCUCCUGGGGCUGGGCCUCCACCCCGAGGACAGCAAGGGGCCGCUGACGCUGGAGGGGGAGACCCUGCAGCUGGAACCCUGCUCCAAGAGACUCCAGACCAUGGAGAAAGAGCAACUCCCUUCCCAUUGUUCUAAGCUGUGGGGCCAGAGAACCCUGGAGAUUUAGCCUCUCUUUUGCCCUCCUCGUCCCUUUACCCAUGUGUGCUCAGGCAAGCAAUACCCAGUACCCAGCUCUGGGCUCCAAAAGAAAUUCUUCCCGACAGAUGUCUCGUCUCAGGCUGGGGCGUACAGCCAGAGGCCUCUGUCCAGGAAGGGGCACCCUGCAGAUGAGCUGGGAUUCGACUCUCUGACAGCUCGAAAAGGCCAGACUCUCCUCAGGAAGAGACUAGGGCUCGCAGUAGCCGGCACAGCUCCCUGGGCCAGGCCUCUCCCUGAAGACUGUAUCUGAGCAACAGCUACUCUCAGCAUCGAGUGCGGAGCUCAAUGAGCUCAUCCUCUGACAAGAGCUGGAAAGAUCUUACACGUCGCAUCAUGACAGCCAGAGAUCGUUCACCCAGGCCAGGUGGCAGUCAUUCGUUCUACGGAUAAGAACUGAGGUUUGAAAGAGCAAAGGCACCGAGCAGGAUCUCAGAGCCAGUGACUGCAGAGCCAGCACUCGGACCCCAGCCCGACUCCAGGAUUCAAGCCCCCUCCCACAUCGUCCAACUAAUUACCAAUGAGGAAGCUGCGAUCCAGAGAGGUGGACAGACUGACCUCAACGUGCCAUGGCUGGGCUCACACUGUGUUACCUCCUUCCUGUAGGGACCUCGUUUCCAACAGUGCCCAAAGGUGGAAAAGACACAGAACUGGAGCAGACCUCCCACCCUCACCCUUCUGCUGUGCGGUCCACACGUGGCCCGGCCGGCCAAGACACCCUGGCUUACGGGCCUCAGCGGUUCUACCCACUGGGCAGAGAGGACCUCGGCUGGGGGAGAGGAAGGCGGGAAGGAAGAGAGGAAGAUGGGAGGGAGGAAAGAACCACAAAGAAGGAAGGAAGAAGGAAGGAAGGGGCGCCUUUGUCGAGCACUUCCUGGGUGCCAGGCCGGCGGGGAGCAGCCCACACUAUCUGGCCAUUCAUUUCUCAUAAGCAGCCUGUGAGGCAGAUGCUCCUGACCCUAUUUUUAGGGACUGGCUCGUAACUGCUGGAGGUUGGGCUGGAAUCUGAUUCUGUCUCAGUCCAGAGCCUGAAGACUCUCUAGACUUCCUGGAAGUGGCACUUUGCCCCGUGCUCCUCUGACUCCUGGAAGUUGAGGGAGGUGCCAGAGGGGCUCCCGGGGCCUACAGGGGAGCCUGAGAGGGUGGAUUUCCCUGGGAUUCUUCAGAAGAAUAAGUUCCAUGGCUAAGACAUUUUUAAAAACAACCCUACUAGGAGUCUGAUAUUAAAGAGGUGGGGAGAUGUGGUUUAUGUAUACAAUGGAAUAUUACUCAGCUAUUAGAAAUGACAAAUACCCACCAUUUGCUUCAACGUGGAUGGAACUGGAGGGUAUUAUGCUGAGUGAAGUAAGCCAGUCGGAGAAGG